GGCUAACGCUGGCGGCGUGUCUUGGCCAUGCAAGUCGAGCGGACUUAUGGGGUAACUUAUAAGUCAGCGGCGGACGGCGGAGUAACACGUAGCUAACCUACCCUCUGGACGGGGAUAACCUACCGAAAGGUGGGCUAAUACCCGAUGUAGUCAUCCUGUAUAGGGGUGAUGAAAGGUGGGCUUCUGUUUACAAGCUCAUGCUGGAGGAGGGGGCUGCGGCCUAUCAGGUAGUUGGUAGGGUAAUAGCCUACCAAGCCGAUGACGGGUAGCCGGCCUGAGAGGGUGACCGGCCCGAGGGGCACUGAGAUACGGGUCCCACUCCUACGGGAGGCAGCAGGCUAGAAAUUUGGGCAAUGGGGGAAACCCUGACCCAGUGACGCCGCGUGCAGGAAGGAGCCCUUCGGGGUGUAAACUGCUGUCGUGUAGGGAGAAGGGUACUAAGGUGAACAAUCUUAGUACUUGACGGUACUACAGGAGGAAGCCCAGGCUAACCUCGUG
rnacentral:rRNA from 1 species